AUUAGAGUCGACACAGAAGAUGUUCCUUGAAUGGAGGGCUCACUGCUCUCAGAUGGCCCACACCUGCAAACACAGCUUCAGAGAAGAGCUAAGUGAAAAUUAAGGCAACCCAGGAAGUGAAGAUCAUUUGCCUACGAGAUUUAUGAGGGAUGCCACUCUCUGUGACCCCAAGUACAUAAAGCUGUGAAAGAAUCCUGUGGACUUUUGGGAGAUAAGAGAUUGAAAAUCUACUCUCUUCCUUCUGGGCUUCACUGUGAGCUAUUGUUUCACAGUUAACUAGGAUAGCCCUAACCAAGAUUAUUGAUAAUGGAAAGAGAGACACUCUUCAGGAGAACAUGGGGAUACAUUGGCUAGAUCACCUGAAACAGCUUAAGAAUGCAGAGUUCCUGGAGGAGGGCAGUUUUGACCCAACAUGAGGCUAAUGUGGUCAUUUCUUUGGUAAUAAGCCAACCUGGUGCAGUUGGGCUUGGAGAGAAGUAAGUUGAAAUGUCACAGAACAUCGAAAUCGUAAUUUGGAAGCCCCAGCAUGCAGCAGCCUUUGAUAAGAUUAGCUUUUAGGGACAGGUGUCAUCUUACCUUGCAAGCUUGUUCAGAGAUUGGUACCAAUAAGAGCCUUUCUCCAGCAGUGGAAAAAAUCGUACCAUGCAGCUAUGAGAAACAAAGUGUAAUGAACUGACCAUACUCUUUGGCAUUUGGAACUUUGACCAACUUCCUUUGGACUAAAUCCCCAGGUUCCUUAGAAGAUUAGUGGAGGCUCAAAACGUGGACUCCCCACUAAUAAGGCUCAUAAGACUUGGAAAAAUUAACCAGAAAAAAAUAAAAGAAAUGGAUCUUUGGAAAAAGUCAUAGCCAUUAGCAAUCUUACGUCAUACACAAAUAUCCAUAGAACGUCUUUCUAUUGCCUCUAGGCACAUCAAACUCAACUACAACAUGGAAUUCAACAUCUAUCCCAAUAACCAACAACUUACUGUUUCUCUCCCAUCCCUUAUCUCUAUUUCCCCCCGUGUUAUCCUUCCAGGCACUAGAAACAGAAAGCUUAGUGUCAUUUUAAAUGUUUCUGUCUAUUUUAUAUCUCAUUAAUCAGUCAUGAUUUCUAGUCUUUUUUUAAUAUAUAUUUUUUUGAUAGAGAUGAUGUCUCACCAUCUUGCCCAAGCUUGUCUCCUGGCUUCAAGCAAUCCUCCCACCUCAGUCUCCCAAAUCACACUGGGAUUACAGAUGUGAGCCACUGCACCCGGCCUUGUCUAGCUGUUUUUAAUAUCAAAUGUACCUCAGAUUCAUUGUGUCUGUUGCAUCUCUGUGACUACUGUCACAGAACAGUCCUCAUGAGGCUUUAGUCAGACCAUUGCAAUAAUUUCCUAAGGGGAUUCCAUAUGUCCAGCCCAGCAAACUUCAUUCCAUUUUCUAUUUUGUUACAGACAUAUACAUGUAUGUAUGGGUGUAUGUAUGGCUUAACUAGCAUUUCUUCCAGAUUGAAGUCCAAAACCCUUAUAAGCAUACACAAGGCCUUCAGUAAGAUGAAUUUUGCCUUCCUCUACCACUAGACUGAGAUUCUUGCAGGAAGGACUAAAUGCAUUAAUUUUUUUAAAAAGUCCCAGAACCUACUAUGGUGUUUUGUAUAUCACAAAUCCUCAUAUAGUUACUAAAAUUGAAUGGAAUUAAAGGAAAGCUGAAACUUUAUAGUUUUCAAGUCUGUUGUGUAAUAAUUGUCUUUGGUGCCAUUUCUGGCCUGUGAUGUAGUUUUAGUUACCCUGGAGAAAUUCUCCUCAUGCCUCCUCUCUCUCUGUUGGUGAAGAUUA
rnacentral:lncRNA from 1 species